rnacentral:tRNA from 1 species
GGCCAGUUAGCUCAGUUGGUUAGAGUAUGGUGCUAAUAACACCAAGGUCGUGGGUUUGAUGCCCUUAUGGGCCA